rnacentral:rRNA from 1 species
CCUACGGGUGAUUGCAGUGAGGAAUAUUGGUCAAUGGACGAGAGUCUGAACCAGCCAAGUAGCGUGAAGGAUGACUGCCCUAUGGGUUGUAAACUUCUUUUAUAAAGGAAUAAAACGAGGCACGUGUGCCUUUUUGCAUGUACUUUAUGAAUAAGGAUCGGCUAACUCCGUGCCAGCAGCCGCGGUAAUACGGAGGAUCCGAGCGUUAUCCGGAUUUAUUGGGUUUAAAGGGAGCGUAGAUGGGUUGUUAAGUCAGUUGUGAAAGUUUGCGGCUCAACCGUAAAAUUGCAAUUGAUACUGGCAGUCUUGAGUACAGUUGAGGUAGGCGGAAUUCGUGGUGUAGAGGUGAAAUGCUUAGAUAUCACGAAGAACCCCGAUUGCGAAGGCAGCCUACCGGCGCGCAACUGACGCUCAUGCACGAAAGCGUGGGUAUCGAACAGGAUUAGAUACCCUUGUAGUC